AUUCUGCAAGUCAGCAACGGAUAGUCAACGAUAUGUGAAAGUUAUCGGUCAAUUUGUUACCACAUACUUGUAUUUCUUGAAAACAAAUGCCAAGCCGAAUUAAUCUUUUUUGCUGGACCGGAUUUAAUCGGACUUGUGUCGGGUUGGAUUACAAUUGGGUGGAUUAGAAUACCAAGCUUUGACGGAGCCUAAUAAAAGUUUUUAGCUGAAAUUUCUAAAAUUGGAAUGUAUUGAAAAUUAAAUUAGGUUUACAGUUAUAAUGAAUUUCUAUAUUUGUCAUUUAUGAAAUGAAAUGUAAUCAUUCAGAUACGGAGCCACAUCUGAAGGAUAGAAGAAAAUUUUGAAAACUUAUUUAAUAGUUAUAAGUCAGGUACAAAUAACUGAAAGGAUGUGAUCUGUUUUAUAUUCUGAUAUGAAGUUCAUAUAUGUAUAUUUUAGGUUUAAUUCAAAUCGAUGGAAAUGGACGGCAAAUUCCCAUCGGACGUAUAGAAAAUAACGAAAUGUGUAUGUUACCAGAUCCCGGAACAACUUACAAAAACCAUAUACAUACAUGUUAUCUCGAAUUUUCAUCUAUUCCGCAUUUUUUGUAGUUUCGCUGAUUUAGAAUACAGUGAAGUUCAAUCACACAGAUGACGGCAAAAAUUUCAAUUCAAAAAUCUUGAUUUAUAAUUGAAUCAGAAAAUAGUUUGCUCGAGAAUGUAUUAUUACCAAAACACACAAUCAAAUUAUUCUGUUGCAGUCACAAUAUAAUAAAUAAGAGUUGAAGAAACUAAACAACCGUCAAAAAUAUUUUUUAUAUUUCAAAUAAGAAAAGUGUCAUUAUAAAAUUAGCACCUCACUUUUAUACAUUAAAAUAAUAUUUUAUUAAUCACUCCACAUUAAUGCUAAUGAGAAGCUGCAACUUAGAAUUUCUGGAACCGUUGUGACAUUCAUACUGAAAACAUGUUUACACUAACAGUGAAUUUAACUUCAGUCUCUGAAGAAGAUAACUUGGUGAUGGAAACGCACACCAGACAGAGUAAUCGUGAGUGUUGGUGUAGUGGUAGUGGGAACAGUAGGUUCAGAAUGAGAAGCUGCUUUUAUUACUACUCUUUUUUUCCUAUUCUUUCCUAGUCGUUUAAAUAUUUUCAACAUGUAUCAUGUUACAGUUAUUUCUUAAUUUCGGUUUGGUUUGCUACUAAACCGUGUUAUUUUAUUUUUUUAAAUUCUCAUUUAUUUUUAUUUAAAAUCAAAAACUUAUCUAAGAAGUUGCAAUAUGAACUAAAUUUUCUGCACUCCCAUUAAACGAUUUAUCGAAGAAUUGGGGAGCAUUUUCAGACGAACGUGGAAUGAGAUUUCAACAGCAAGUUUCUCAAAAGGAGAAGUGCUGCAGUGGAAAAUGGAUAUGAAAUUUGCUAGUGGACUUGUUGAAUCCUUGAACGUGAAACCUCUCCUGGUGAAUACAAGCGAAAGAAGACGACCAAAUGAACUGUUGAUCGUUUUUAUCUUUUUUUUUGAUACAAUAAAAAGUAUGUUUUUUAAA